rnacentral:lncRNA from 1 species
AAGGGAACAUGAUUUUUCAACCAUUAAAAGCAACUGGAGCAUUGCAGUCCUUUUUCUGGAAGGAAAAAUAGGUCCUAAUAGAGUUAGGUUUACACCGUGCAAUUUAGAAAUAUGCAAAUGUACUUCACUUGCUUUGCAUCUGUUACAGUAUUGUGCCCUGGAUACCCUGUCUUUCCACUUGAACCUUCUUUCAACAGUGGGCUGCACAGGAUUGCUAGCCCUGGGGGUGCGCACACAGCCAAUUUUGCCAAAAUACCCUGGAUAACAGAGGAUGUGAGUGUAAGCUGUGUGUGUGUGUGUUUGUGUAACAACCAACACCUGUCAUGCUAGAGAAGAUGACCGUCAGCUGGAUGAAACAGGAACCAUGGAAAUAUAAGGAAACUUUGGAGAAAGGAAUUCACUGGAAGAGGCUGAACACCUGGGGGUGGGGGUCAGAGGGCCAUUGACAGGCCUAGAGGCUGGGACACAACUGUAGCUUCUUGGGCUAAAAAGGAGCACAAUGGGAAGCGACACUGAAAAAUCACAGAGAUGCUUAUGCCACAGAUGCUCAGUGUUUCAGAUGCUCAAGCCACACAGAGAAGAUUCGGGUGCAGGCUUGUGUCUGUGUGUGCUGGUCCCACUGGAGACUCAGGACUGGAUCUUCCAUACCACAAGGUGAGUGAUGGAAGCUCUUUCCAGCCCCGUGCAGCCUGGCAGUACCCGGGAUGUGGGUCGGUCAGCCGCUUGAUGCAGCUGUGGCAGACAAAGGCCUUUGUGCUGCUUGCUCCUUCUCACAGUUCCGCAGUGAGAGGCAGCAUCAGAGAGAGGAGAAAGUGUAUCUUGAAUCUGAGCUACUCAGGAAAUCAAAGGAGGCGGAUUAAAACAAGAGCAGUGAUUGAUUC